rnacentral:rRNA from 1 species
GACGAACGCUGGCGGCGUGCUUAACACAUGCAAGUCGAGCGGUAAGGCCCUUUCGGGGUACGACGAGCGGCGAACGGGUGAGUAACACGUGGGUGACCUGCCCUCAGCUCUGGGAUAAGCCUGGGAAACCGGGUCUAAUACCGGAUAUGACUCCAUGACGCAUGUUGUGGGGUGGAAAGCCUUGUGCGGCUGAGGAUGGGCCCGCGGCCUAUCAGCUUGUUGGUGGGGUGAUGGCCUACCAAGGC